rnacentral:rRNA from 1 species
GAAUACUACAAGCAUAAGCUCGAAACUCAAAGAACUUGGCGGCGCUUUAGAUCCAUCUAGAGGAGCCUGUCCUAUAACCGAUAACCCCCGUUAAACCUUACCUUCUUUUGCAUUCAGUCUAUAUACCGCCGUCGUCCAGCCCACCCUUUAAGGGCAAAAUAGUAGGCAAAAUUGGUAAAGCCCAAAACAUCAGGUCGAGGUGUAGCAUAUAAGAAGUGAAGAGAUGGGCUACAUUUCCUAAUAUAGGGACUCACGGAAAAUAUCUUGAAAUAGAUAUACUGAAGUAGGAUUUAGCAGUAAGUAAAAAACAGAGCGUUUC